GCCACUGUAACUAAGUGGUAGAGAAUCUGCUUUAUCUGCAGAAGGUCCCAGAUCAAAUCCCUGGCAUUUCCAGGCA